rnacentral:rRNA from 1 species
UACGAAGGGGGCUAGCGUUGCUCGGAAUUACUGGGCGUAAAGCGCACGUAGGCGGCUCUUUAAGUCGGGGGUGAAAUCCUGGAGCUCAACUCCAGAACUGCCUUUGAUACUGAGGAUCUUGAGUUCGGGAGAGGUGAGUGGAACUGCGAGUGUAGAGGUGAAAUUCGUAGAUAUUCGCAAGAACACCAGUGGCGAAGGCGGCUCACUGGCCCGAUACUGACGCUGAGGCACGAAAGCGUGGGGAGCAAACAGG